AUGUCAAUGGCUGACUAUCUCAAACAAAUCAAAGAGCUGGCGGAGAUGCUUGCAGACGCUGGUGCUCCUGUGGAAGAUCGCGACCUUCUUCAUCUACACAUCCUGCCGGGAUUGCCAGAGGAGUAUAAUCCCUUUCGUGCAUGGAUAAACAACAAUCCUCUAAUAAGUUUUUGGGAUGAGUUUCAAGACUUACUGUUGAAGGAGGAAGUACAUCUGGAUGAACAGAGCAGAAGUGCUGCCAUAAAUCAUUAUCAGGAUGGCCGAGAAGAAGACCAUGCCAUCGGGAUCGAUCUGGGAACAACGUACUCCCGAGUAGCCGUGUGGCAGAAGGAUCAUGUGGAAAUCAUACUGAAUGAUCACGGGAACAGGAAGACUGCAUCUUAUGUUGCCUCCGUAGAAGCUGAUGAGACUGUUUUGGUAGGCGAUGCAGCAUUUAACCAAGUCGUCAGAAACACCGCCAACUCAAUUUUUGAUACAAAGAGGUUAAUCGGUAGGAGAUUCAGUGACACCUCUGUUCAAAGUGAUGUGAAGCUCUGGCCAUUCAAGGUCAUUGAAGGCCCAGGCGACAAGCCCAUGAUUUUGGUUACCCACAAUGGCCAAGAGAAACAAUGUUAUGCUGAAGAUAUCACAGCCAUGGUUCUUGAUAAGAUGCGGAAGAUUGCCGAGAACUACCUGGGCUCAACUGUGAAAAGUGCAGUAAUCACUGUCCCUGCUUACUUCGGUGACUCACAGCGUCGGGCAACAAAAGCUGCUGGUCUUUCUGCAGGCAUAAAUGUGAUGCGUAUUAUGAACGAACCGAGCGCUGCGGCCAUUUCUUUUGGCCUUUACAAGAAGGCCGGGUGGAGUAGCCCGCGAAACGUGAUGAUAUUUGAUUUGGGUGGUGGCACUUUAGAUGUGUCCUUGCUUACCAUGAGCACUUCUGGUGACUUUCAAGUCAAGGCAACGGCUGGAGACACUCACCUUGGCGGCCAAGACUUCGAUAACAGAUUGGUGAACUACUGUGCUGAGAAAUUCAAGAGGGAGCAUAAAUUGGACGUUAGUGGAAACAAGAGAGCUCUUAGGAGGUUAAAAAAUGAAUGUGAGAAGGCAAAGAAGAGACUCUCAUUUGAGUCUGACAUUGACGUUGAAAUUGACUGUUUGUGUGAGAAUACUGAUUUCACCGUAACUUUUACUCGUGCCAUAUUUGAACAAGUAAACAUGGAUUUAUUCAUCAAGUGUAUGGAUCCUGUGAAAAAGUGUUUGGCGUAUGCAAAAAUGAACAUAAACGGUGUCGAUGAUGUUCUUCUUGCUGGCGGCUCUUCUAGAAUUCCAAUGGUGCAGCAGCUAUUACAGAAGUUUUUCAAGGGGAAGGAGCUGUGCAAGGGCGUCAAUCCAGAUGAGGCAGUGGCUUAUGGUGCCGCUAUUCAAGCCGCAGCCUUGAGUGGGAAUGGAAAGGGGAAUUUGCAUGUCGUCGUAGUAGUAAAGUGAGAAAAAUUAGUAAUGGCAGAAGAUAACCAUGCAAUUGGGAUUGAUCUGGGGACAACUUAUUCGUGUGUGGCAACGUGGCAGGCUGAUCAUGUAGAAAUCCUGGUGAACGAUCACGGUAACAGGACAACUCGAUCUUAUGUUACAUUCACUGAUAGUAAGAGGUUAGUAGGUGAUGAAGCAUUUAACCAAGCCGGGAGAUUCCCCACCAACUCAAUCUUUGAUGCGAAGCGGUUAAUUGGUAGGAGAUUCAGUGACGAAACUGUUCAAAGUGAUAUCAAGCGCUGGCCAUUCAAGGUCAUUAGAGGUGAGGCUGACAAGCCCAUGAUUGUGAUUAAACACAAGGGCCAAGAGAAACUGUUUGCUGCUGAAGAUAUCUCAUCAAUGGUUUUGGCAAAGAUGCGGGAGAUUGCGGAGGCCUUCCAUUGCUCAAAGAUUAGUGAGAAAAAGGCAGUUAUCACUGUCCCCUCUUACUUCAACGACUCUCAGCGCCAGGCUACAUUAAAAGCUGGUAAAUUAGCCGGCUUAAAUGUGCUGCGUAUUAUCAACGAACCAACUGCUGCAGCCAUAGCUUAUGGCAUCGACAAGAAAGCCGGUUGGUUUAAUAAGAGAAACGUGAUGAUAUUUGAUUGGGGUGGUGGUACAUUGGAUGUGUCGCUACUAACCAUAGGCCAUGGUGUCUUUGACGUGAAGGCGACUGCCGGAGACACUCACCUUGGAGGUGAAGACUUGGAUAACAGAAUGGUGGAUUACUGCGUCGACGAAUUCAAGACAAAAAAUGAGGUGGACAUUUGUGGAAACCCGAAAGCUCUUAGGAAGGCCAAAACCGUGUGUGAGAAAGCAAAGAAGGCACUUUCAUUUUGCUUUGACAUUGAUAUUGUAAUCGACUCUUGGUAUAACGGUGAAGAUUUUAAUACAACUUUCACCCGGGACAAAUUCGAAGAAAUGAACAUGGAUAUCUUCAACAAGUGCAUGGAGCUUGUGAAAAGGUGUUUGAAGGAUGCCAAAAUGGACAUAAGCGACGUCAAUGACGUUGUUCUUGUUGGUGGUUCUUCUAGAAUCCCCAAGGUGCAAGAGCUAUUGCAGAAGUUUUUCAUGGGCAAGGAGUUGUGCAAGAGCAUUAAUCCCGAUGAGGCCGUGGCUUAUGGAGCCGCUGUUCAGGCUGCAGCCUUGAGUGGGAACGUAACUGGGAAGCUUCAAGACUUCACUCUCUUAGACGUCACCCCUCUAUCACUUGGGAUUGAGUGUGGGGAAGAUGGUAGUUCCGAGCUUUUCAUGAAUGUUGUGAUUCCAAGAAACUCAAGAAUUCCGGUGGGGAUGACAACAAGUGUAACUACUCGUUAUGACUACCAAGAGUCUGCUCGCUUCGCCAUUUAUGAGGGUGAAAAUAGAAUCGCCAAAGAUAAUAACUUUUUGGGUGAAUUCACCCUCCAUGGCAUUCCUCCGGCUCCCAGGCAUGUUCCAAAGUUCAAUGUUUACUUUGAUAUGGACGCAAAUGGAGUUUUGAGCGUCUCUGCGGAGGAUAUGUCCACUGGCCAGAAGAAAGGGAUCAAAAUCAACGGUGACAGAACCAAGAACUAACUCUUAAGGGAAUAUAAGGAUUAAGAUAGCAUCUAUAAAAUACUUAUUUGCUCUGAUUUCCUAUAUAUGUUGAAGUGCAAUAUCUAUGUUUAAGAUAGCAUGGAAUAAGGAAGUCGAUAUGAACUUCUUUUGCUGGCUGCUUGUGCAUUUCGUGAUUGGCUGGUUUUUUCUUCUCUGGGUUGGGUGUGGGGAGUGUGCUUUGUAAAAGACUUGCCUGAUUUGUAGC